UACGGAGGGUGCAAACGUUGCUCGGAAUCAUUGGGCGUAAAGCGCACGUAGGCGGCGCGUUAAGUCGGGUGUGAAAGCCCUGGGCUCAACCCAGGAAGUGCAUUCGAAACUGGCGCGCUUGAAUAUGGAAGAGGGUCGCGGAAUUCCCGGUGUAGAGGUGAAAUGCGUAGAGAUCGGGAGGAACACCAGAUGCGAAGGCGACGACCUGGACAGAUACUGACACUCAACUCCGAAAGCGUGGGGAGCAAACAGG
rnacentral:rRNA from 1 species